rnacentral:pre_miRNA from 2 species
UCUUAUGGAUGAGCAAAGGAAGUGUUUUUUUGGAGGUGGAAUCUACUCCUGGUGAAGAUGCUGUGAA